AACAAGGAAAUAGCUUAUCUUGUUGAUUUUAUCGGAAAACUAGAAAGGAAAAAUAGUUUAGAAAUGGCGUCUGUGCAGCGGCAAGCGAGUUCGGGAUCUGAGACUACUGACCCGCGAUAUGCGUCGAUCGUGGAUGAAAGGAAGAGGAAGAGGAUGAUAUCCAACCGGGAAUCAGCCAGGCGGUCGAGGAUGAGGAAGCAGAAGCAGAUGGAGGAUCUGAUUCAUGAGGCGAGCGUCCUGCAAAGCGAUAACAGAAGAAUCAUGGAGAAGAUUAACGCCACCACCCA
rnacentral:lncRNA from 1 species